CUAAAGUAACACUCAUAUUCUCAUUUACACAUAAGAGUGAUCAAAAGAGACACAGAAAUAAAAAUACUUCGCUUUUAUCUAAUUUUUUUUUUCCGUUCUAAACUUUUUUUUUUCUAUUUUUUUUUCUUUCAAAUCAUAUGAUGAUGAUUGAUGAUCAAUGAUGGAUUCAGCUGAAGCUGUCUGAAAAUCAAAAUCUGCCUCAUCUCCAAGAAUCUCCGUCUGAGAAUCUCUUGUUCCGACAAAAGCUGAUUGUUGUCCGUACACAUUAAUGCGAUGUUGUACAAAACAAUUCGAAGCCGGUUUGCGAGUUCCCGGUUUUCUAAACCGAGACGAUUUGCUUCGUCUUUUAAAUUAUCAAUGUGUCUUUGUUUACGCAUCCUCGACCGCUUCGCUGAUUCUCGGUUUGAUUCCAUCCGUUUGCGUUUACGGUCGUCAGUCACCUGCAAAACCGACCGGUUCAAUUUGUUCCGGUUAUGAUUCGUGGCGUUACUUCGGAUUUUCGUGUUUUUUGAGUCCAAUUCGUCGGAUUGAGGACUCGGUACGCCGUGGAAAAGGUUGGAAUCAUCAGAACCGGAGUUAGUUUUGAUGGAACCGAUACACGAUUCGUCAAAACCGUUAAAAUCGGUGUUAAUUUUGACAGAACCGGCAUCGGAUUCACCAGAACAAGGACUCGGUACGACCGGUUCGAGAUGGAUUGUAGAGAAGAGAUCGGAGCAGUUCAAUUCCCAAGGAGUGAAUCCGGUCUGGAAAUCCGAUAAUUGGUUAACCAAACCCGGUUCAGUAAAGGUAAAGGCCGGUACAGUAGACAUCAUAAUGACCGGUUUAAAAUUGUUUAAUUAGAGAGAAGAGAGAGAAG